GCACUUGUAGUCUAGUGGUUAUGAUUUCUGCUUUACAACAUAGAUUGAAAACGCAGACGGUCCCAGGUUCGAUCCCUGGUAAGUGCA
rfam:Schizosaccharomyces japonicus yFS275 unplaced genomic scaffold supercont5.2, whole genome shotgun sequence.